rnacentral:rRNA from 1 species
UACGUAGGGAGCAAGCGUUGUCCGGAAUCAUUGGGCGUAAAGCGCGCGUAGGUGGCCCCAUAAGUCCGCUGUGAAAGUCAAAGGCUCAACCUUUGAAAGCCGGUGGAUACUGUGGGACUAGAGUACGGAAGAGGCGAGUGGAAUUCCUGGUGUAGCGGUGGAAUGCGCAGAUAUCAGGAGGAACACCAAGUAGCGAAGGCAGCUCGCUGGGACGUUACUGACACUGAGGCGCGAAAGCGUGGGAGCGAACAGG